rnacentral:rRNA from 1 species
AUGGACACUUUGAACUAACCCUAGCCCUAGCAACAUAAAACAUAAUUAUUUAAUUAACUAAACCAAAACAUUUAAACCACUUAAAGUAUUGGAGAAAGAAAUAUAUAAACACAUCUAGGAGCCAUAGAAUCAGUACCGUAAGGAAAGAUGAAAGACUAAUUAAAAGUAUAAAGAAGCAAAGAUUAAACCUUGUACCUUUUGCAUAAUGAAUUAACUAGAAAACUUCUAACUAAAAGAAUUAUAGCUAGAUA